rnacentral:lncRNA from 1 species
CUUCUCGCAGGCGGCGCGCUUGCUGGGUCACAGUGAGGCGGCUCCGCGCAGGCGCAGCCGGGCGGGCGAGGAGCGGGGAAGCUGACUCAGGGCUGCGGCCGGGGUCCUGCGGGGUAGGAGCGCGAGGCCGGCCUGAGGGAGGAGGCCUAGCGACCCAUCCGGCGCCUCCCGCCCCGGGCACCCGCCCGCGGCCGCGCAUCCUGCGGGCCCCAGGAGGCCUCCAUCUCAAAACAACGUGUUUUUAGGCUCUGCCCAGGCCCGGACUCCCACCUUUCAAGAUGUCUGGAUCAGUGCAGGACCUCCUCCUUGGCCACAUCGCUCUCCUUGGACUGGUUCGUUAACCCUGUGUUCAAGUGAUUCUCCCACCUCAGCCUCCCAAGUAGGAUUACAGGUACACACCACCACGCACAGCUAAUUGUUUUGUAUUUUAGGAAGAGAUGGGGUUUCAUCAUGUUAGCCAGGCUGGUCAGGUGAUCCAUCCGCCUUGGCCUCCCCAAGUGCUGGGAUUACAGGCGUGAGGCACUGUGCCCGGCCUGCCCCCCUUUUCUCUUGAUGUAAGUGGACAUUUUAAUCCAUAAUCUGUAACAUUUAUGUAUUAAGUUUACUACUAUCUUUGGUUUGCAGUGUUGACUCACCUGUGGAGUGGUCUGAGCCUGAAUGCCCGGGGCUGUGGCCACCGAGUGAACGGGCUGUGCUAAGGGGAAUUGCCACCUUGGGAAACCUGUGUAGUUGCGGCUUUUCUGAUUAAGUAUCAAUAAAAGUCUGACCUUGUGAAAAAAGCAAACGUGAGUGGCCCUGCUUAUGUUUCACCUUGCGUUGCUCAGUGAUAGUUCUGCAAAGUCGCAGGAAACCUGGAAUCAUCUAAUUAUCGUGAGUGUUGGCACAUGACAGCCUUCUUGCAAUCAAGAAACUACGUGUGGCCAGGAUCUCAUCCACUAUCACAGUUUCAGCUUUCCCCAAACUGGAAUGUGUCUUUGCAGACGCCCAUCCUUAUUAAAGGGCAAAGACUUCUCAUACACCUAGGAUGGAUCUUAUAUUCUUGGCGGGACUGCAGAGAAGGUGCCGUGUCCUGAGUCCUCAUGUCAGGGCACAGGCUUCCAGCCAGUUCUACCUGGGUUAUGUUUAUCUCAAUUCCCUGGUGGUAUUGGUGUCUGCUGGGUUUUGCCAGAAUGAAGACACCGUGUUUUCAUUUGUCAGUUGAUUCGUAUUUUCCAGGAAGACAUUCUGAGAUUACAGCAUUGUCUUAGUCAAGGUGCUGCAGAAGGACAGAACUAAUAGGAUAUAUGUACAUAUGAAAGAAAGUUUAUGAAGAACUGGCUCACACCAUCACAAGGCAAAGUCCCAUGACAGGCCAUCUGCAAGCUGAGGAGCGAGGAAGCCAGCAGUGGCUCAGCCGGAGUCCAACAGCCUCAAACGGAAUCCAACAGUUCAGGCUUCAGUCUGUGGCCAAAUGCCCAGAGACCCCGGAAAGCUACUGGUGUUAGUCCCAGAGCCGGAAGGCCAAAGAACCUGGAGUGUGAUGUCCAAGGGCAGGAGGAAUGGACAGAAGCAUCCAGCAUGGGGUAAAGACGAAAGCCAGAAGACUCAGCAAGCUAGCUUACCUACUUUCUUCUGCCUGCCUUGUUCUAGCCGCGCUGGCAGCCGGUUGGAGGGUGCCCACCCCCACUGAGGGUGGAUCUUCCUCUCCUAGUCCACUGACUCAAAUUUCAGUCUCUCUGGGAGCACCAUCACACCAGAAACAAUACCAGCCAUCUAGCCACCCUUCAGUUCACCAUCACAACCAUUGUCUUAUUCAUGAAACUUCUGCAGACCCACCUUAACCUCCAUCGGUGACUUCUACCUGAAGCCCUCUGAUUGUUGCCCAGUGGUGCUUUUUAAAAUAAUUUCCAUAGUUUCUUCUACACCUUUAGUUGGCAUUCUACUGUAAAGGAGAGAUUUUAUUUUCUUACUCAUUUAUUUGUUAGUUUAUAGUCACCACCAUAUGGAUGCAGAGUUCUGUCUCAUUCACUGGGAAGUAUUCUAUUGCAGUCAUGAUUUAUUUUGAUGUUCACAUCCCAGAGUUGGUGAGUGAGCGCCCCUUCACGCUGGCUCCCGAGUGCUGACGUGUCCCCGUCCUUCUCUGCACUUUUCCUUACCUCCUGGCCUCAGAUAUUCCAGGGUCAUUUGUUCUCUCCCUGCUCCAACCCUGCAGUCAGCCAUCUCCCUAGGGACGUUGGUUCCUUUAUGGAAGGUGGCAUUUAGAAGCCAGGAUUUGGGCUGAGCACUGUGGCUCAUGCUUGUAAUCCCAGCACUUGGGGAGGCCGAAGUGGGCGGAUCGCUGGAGGCCAAGAGUCUGAGACCAGCCUGGCUAACAUGGUGAAACCCUUCCCCGUCUCUACUACAAAUAAAAAAUUAGCUGGGUGUGUUGGCACGUGCCUGUAAUCCCAGUUACUCAGGAGGCUGAAGCACCAGAAUCUCUUGAACCCAGGAGGCCGAGGUUGCAGUGAGCCAAGAUUGCACCACUGCACUACAGCUUGGGUGACAGCGCGAGACACCGUCUCAAAAAGGAUAAUAAUUUAAAAAACAGCAGGAUUUGGGUGAGCAGUGCGCUCAUUGCUUCUGGGCUCUCUCGGUGGACAUAGGCUAGGAAUGUAAGAUGUAUGUGCCUGUGUAUAUACACACGUCUGUAGCUAUGUCUAUGUUGCAUACAUGUGUUUUUCCAAAAACCAAAUCCAUAACCAUGCCUUCAGUUUCAGCCCAACACCUCCGGGCUCUUUCUAGCUUUCUACCUUUCAUGAUUGUGAAUACCUUCUCCAGCAGUGAGAAACCUGGCUCCUUUGUCCUCAGUGGAUUUUCUUAUUUGCUCAAUUUUUUUGUUUUUUGUUUUGUUUUUGUUUUUGAGACAGAGUCUUGUUCUGUCACCCAAGCUGGAGUGCAGUGGCAUAAUCUCGGCUUACCGCAACCUCUGCCUCCUGG